AUGAGCGGGGCAGAGAGGCGAGAGCCCAUUGGUCGCCUCAUCUGCCCGUCAGAGGGACCCAGGGGACCAAGGGACGCUGUAGGGGCGGAACUCUCGUCUGGCCAGGCCAAUUGGAAGGCGUGGUGGGGGCGGGGUUUGGCGGCUCGGAAUCCAAGGCUUGGGGGGAGACAAGAUGGCGGCUGCGGGAGGGGGUCCUCGCUUCUCAGCUCCCCCGCUCACCCGCCUUCUCCUUCCCUGCCGCCGCCCUCGCUCCAGGAGAGAGCUUUCGCACCGCCCCCGCCCUGCUCGGAAAGCCCCCCGCUUCUCCGGUUUCCCCCCGUGCAGUCCCUGGUCCCCGUAGGCCCCGCUGCCCCCGCCCCCGCUCUGUCCGGCCCCGCUGCCGCCCCCAUUACCUCAGCCGCCUGCCCGGCCCCACCGUUCGGGGCCCCUGGGCGCGGGCGGGCCGGCCGCCGAGCAGGUCGGCGCGGCCCGGGAAGCGGAGCGCGGUCUCCUCCCGCGCCUGCCUCCGUGGCCUCCGCCGUGCCCCCUCCCGGCCCGCGCUGGGGCCCCGGCCCGGCCGCCGCCGCCGCUCCCGGGGGAGGAGGGGGAAUGGAGCCGCCGCUGCUGCCGCUGCCGCCACGGAGCCCGGCCGAGGGGAGGGAGGGAUCAGCCCCCAGGCAGGAUCCGCCCCUCCGGCCUCCCCCCGCCACCUCCACCCCUUCCCUCGCUCCCUCCCUGACUCUGCGGGCUCUCCCGCUGAACAGGAGCGAGAGCGCGAAAGAGGGGGAAACGGGAAAAAAAAUCCCCCCGCCCGUGCCCGGCGCGGCGGCGGUCGGGGCGGUGCGGAGAAGAGCGCGGAGGCGCCGCCGCCGCCGCCACGGGGCACCGUCCCCGGCUCGGCCUCACGGUGGCGGUGCGGGCGCGGCGGGGACACCGAGCAGAGACCGGGUCUGCACCCGCCGCGAUCCCUGCGCACGACGGCCCUGUCCGCCACGGGGCGAGCCCGACAAGAGGGCUGUGGACGUUCGGGUCUAG
rnacentral:lncRNA from 1 species